UUAAUUCAGAUAUAGAUCUCAUAUGCUUAAUCUAAAAGACUCGUAAUAGAAGAUUAGUAACUUGACCAGGUACUCAGAUGACCCUGUUGAGUCAAAGUUGGGAAGUCAAAAUUGGUACAUAGGCAAUGUAUUAUUUAUAAGAAACAUGAGCAAAAAAACAAACAAAAAAACAUGUUCCAGAUGUGAAUGCUUAAAAAGUUCUCAAAGCUACAGCACCAAGUACAUCAUUAGUUAAAUAUAUAUAUAUAUUUUUUUUAAGUGGAAACCGACAGAGUGAAAUAAAACAUUCUUGUUAUUUUUUAUUGUACAGCUGCUGCAUUAUUAUUUAAUUACAUUAUUAUAUGCCUAUUGUAGGAAAACAUGCAGAGACACACUGCACACCAACAUAC